rnacentral:rRNA from 1 species
CCUACGGGAGGCAGCAGUGAGGAAUAUUGGUCAAUGGGCGAGAGCCUGAACCAGCCAAGUCCCGUGAAGGAUGAAGGAUCUAUGGUUUGUAAACUUCUUUUAUAUGGGAAUAAAGUGAGGAACGUGUUCCUUUUUGUAUGUACCAUAUGAAUAAGCAUCGGCUAACUCCGUCCCAGCAGCCGCGGUAAUACGGGGGAUGCGCGCGUUAUCCGGAUUUAUUGGGUUUAAAGGGUGCGUAGGCGGAAUAGCAAGUCAGCGGUAAAAAGUCGGGGCCCAACCCCGUCGUGCCGUUGAAACUGAUGUUCUUGAGUGGGCGAGAAGUAUGCGGAAUGCGUGGGGUAGCGGUGAAAGGCAUAGAUAGCACGCAGAACUCCGAUUGCGAAGGCAGCAUACCGGCGCCCAACUGACGCUGAAGCACGAAAGCGUGGGUAUCGAACAGGAUUAGAUACCCAAGUAGUC